GUAAGAGUAAUAGUGAUUGUAAAUCACUAAAAGAGGAAUCCUCUUUCA
rnacentral:tRNA from 1 species